GCCCCUAUAGUUCAACGGAUAGAAUGCUAGCCUUCGAAGCUAGAGAUGGCGGUUCGAAUCCGUCUAGGGGCGC
rnacentral:tRNA from 1 species